CUACGUGCCAGCAGCCGCGGUAAUACGGAGGGUGCGAGCGUUAAUCGGAAUAACUGGGCGUAAAGGGCACGCAGGCGGUGACUUAAGUGAGAUGUGAAAGCCCCGGGCUUAACCUGGGAAUUGCAUUUCAUACUGGGUCGCUAGAGUACUUUAGGGAGGGGUAGAAUUCCACGUGUAGCGGUGAAAUGCGUAGAGAUGUGGAGGAAUACCGAAGGCGAAGGCAGCCCCUUGGGGAUGUACUGACGCUCAUGUGCGAAAGCGUGGGGAGCAAACAGGAUUAGAUACCCUGGUAGUCCACGCUGUAAACGAUGUCGAUUUGGGGGUUGAGCUUUGAGCUUGGCGCCCGUAGCUAACGUGAUAAAUCGACCGCCUGGGGAGUACGGCCGCAAGGUUAAAACUCAAAUGAAUUGACGGGGGCCCGCACAAGCGGUGGAGCAUGUGGUUUAAUUCGAUGCAACGCGAAGAACCUUACCUACUCUUGACAUCCAGA
rnacentral:rRNA from 1 species